rnacentral:tmRNA from 1 species
GGGGGCGCAACGGCUUCGACGGGGUAGAAUCCGAGGGGCGAGUGCAAGUAGGAAAGAUACAUCCUUAAAAGUUCAAAAACAAUAAUUGCAAAUAACAAUUACCAUUACGAAUCUGCUCGCUUAGCGGCUUAAUUCGGGUGGUCGUCUCAAACCAUCUAUCCAAGAGAGACUUUAGCGGUUGAUCCCCGCCGAGAAUAAAAGACAAUGGUCUUUUGAUCAGAAAUGAACAAAAAGAAACGGCGUUUUUAAAGAUCAAACCUCUUUCGGCCGCGGACUAUAGAGGCUAACAUGCAGCGGAUACCUCGCCAGGAGGGAAAUAACUGGACAAGCUUGUGAAUGACUCAAACCAAGACUAUUGCGGACGCGGGUUCGACUCCCGCCGCCUCCACCA